UCCCUGGUGGUCCAUUGGUUAGGACUCAGCGCUUAAACUGCUGUGACCCUGGGUUCAAUCUCUGGUCCAGGGAA
rnacentral:tRNA from 1 species